AUGGCGGCGACAUCCUUGUGGUGGACAUGUGUCCUCGGGCUUCGCCGUUGCGACAGCGUCUGCUCCAACUCGGCGCGGAGUUUGGGAGGUAAUCGAGGAGCGGAUGCUGAUUGUGGUGUGCUUCGACGACAUCUGGAAGAAGGAACAUGUGCUGGGUUCGUGGAUGACAGGUAUGGUUUCCUCCUCCGACGUCUUAGUCAUGUGAGGGUGCUAGAUCUGGAGUUCGAUGGCGUGUCUAGGGUGUUACCCCGGUCUGAUUCGUUCAAUAGUACCUUUGGCGAGCCAUCUUGGAGGUCCGCAAAGCUGCAUAUCAUCGAUGGAGCCGUGUCGAGCACGGAUGAGGAGGUGAUCUGUCAUUUUUUUUUCGGCGGCUGCUGUGGUGGUGCCGAAGGCAGGUGGGCCAGGGCGCUCGAAUCUGUAUGCAGCAGCAACGUCCGUGAUAUGAGCUGUGGAUGGAACGCGAAAGGAAAUGCCGUUGUCGUUGCAACCUCUGCUCCUAUAUAUGCGCACACCGGCCGGGCAAUUAUCUUAACAAAUCAAGUGGACGAGUCUCUUGGCUCUUGCUCCCGCCGCCAUCCAUCCUGGCUAUUCCCAAAACUGAUCUCAUGUGCUGGCCCUGGCAUGUCCGCGACCCCGUGGCACCCGCCGGAAACGGCGGAGUCCUCCUCGGGCUUGUCGUCCUCCUCGUCCUAUCCCCCGGCGGCAGCAGCUCAGCAUCCGGCGUGCUCCGCGUGCAAGCACCAGCGCCGAAAGUGCACGCCGGGGUGCCCGCUUGCGCCCUACUUCCCCGCGGACAAGCCCGGGAGCUUCCGCAACUCCCACCGCCUCUUCGGCAUCAAAAACAUACUCCGGUUCCUGACGAGAGCCGGCCCGGAGAAGCGGGACGAUUGCAUGAAAUCCAUACUGUACGAGGCCGACGCCCGUGCUUCCGAUCCGGUGCUCGGCACGUACGGCCUCUUACAGAGUCACCAGCGAGAGCUUGCCUUGGCGACGGCCGAACUCGUGGCCUUAAAGGAGCAGCUGGAGUUGCACGGGCACGCCGCGCAGCACCGCUCGGCGCCGGACGCUCUGGGCUUCCUCUCGCCGGUCCAGCCGUGGAUGCCGCAGCCGCCGUCGAUGUAUCCGAUACAGGAGGGGCAGCAGCAGCCGAUCUACGGUAGCUACGUACUAGCUGGUGCUGCGAAGGUCGACGAGGACGCGACAAUCGGCGUGAAGCUUGACGAGGACGAUGUGAUGCCAAUGCAACAUGAUGAUCAUGCCGAGGGCUGUACAACACACUACGGUAGAUUAGAGCCGUCAUCGUCAUCGAGCUACCGGUCUUCGGAUACUUCGCCUCGCGGACUUCUGAACCGUCGCGCUUUAGGUUUAAAGUACAAUCCUGGUUAA
rnacentral:rRNA from 1 species